rnacentral:lncRNA from 1 species
UGACGGCUAGAAGAGUGGAAUAACAGAUGGUAUCACAGAUUGAGAAAAAAAAAGAGACUGGCAUUCCAGCAGGCUCUUUAUAGACACCACCUUUCCUUCCUUCCUGGAAACGGGUCGUUUCACGGACUCGUUAAUCUCCCUCAUUGCCCGGUUGAUCUCCUUCCAAUGGUUUUUGGUCAGCCGGCAACCAGGCGGAGGCGUCUCCUCGGAGUAUUGGAGAAACGCACCGAUCGUCGAGGCGUAGUGGUUGACCGUGGCGACGGCCUUGUUCUUCUGUAGAGUCUGAAACCAUCUAAAAACACACACACACUGUAACCUACUCAAUGAGUGUAUUGUUAAUGAACGCCGAUGAGACUAAAGAGACUGACAGAUCCUCUGCUCACCUCCUCAUGUUGUCGUGGUUCGUCAGGAAAGUGAGAGCGGAUGGAUAAAACUCAUCCUUCGCCAUGUACGUCAAAAAUUGCUGCACCAUCUUGAGCUUUGCGGCACAAUCUUGCUUCAGUUUAUUGUUUGGAUUGGGGCCUUCACAGGUCUUCCUGAACCCCUCCAUAAACACACCUAACCAAAGAAACAUAACAUUUUGGACUGGGACCUUCAUAGGUCUUCCUGAACCCCUCUAUAAACACACCUAACCAAAGAAACAUAACAUUUUGGAUUGGGGCCUUCACAGAUCUUCCUGAACGCCUCUAUAAACACACCUAAUCAAAGAAAGAUAACAUUUUGGAUUGGGGCCUUCACAUGUCUUCCUGAACCCCUCUAUAAACACACCUAAUCAAAGAAACAUAACAUUUUGGACUGGGACCUUCACAGGUCUUCCUGAACCCCUCUAUAUACACACCUAAUCAAAGAAACAUAACAUUUAGGACUUUAUUAAAACAGAUCUCACAAGGCAACAUAAAUCAGACAGGCUGUUUUUUUCCUAAUUUGAAGACAGAGGAGCAUUUGGUUCUAUUUCCAUCAGAUGAAUGAAAUUUAGAUUUUAAUAGUCCACCUGCACAGUCAGGACAGACAGAACUGUAGGUACGGUGAAAUUGUUAUGGUCUGAGCUCCAACAGGCUAGACGCAGAGGAGGAUGUGAGGGGGUCUGGGGAAGAGUGAAGCAGGCUGGACACAGCGGAGGAUGUGAGGGGGUCUGGGGAAGACUGAAGCAGGCUGGACACAGAGGACGGGUGGGGGUCUGGGGAAGAGUGAAGCAGGCUAGACACAGAGGAGGAUGGGAGGGGGUCUGGGGAAGAGUGAAGCAGGCCAGACGCAGCGGAGGACGGGUGGGGGUCUGGGGAAGAGUGAGGCAGGCUGGACACAGCGGAGGAUGGGUGGGGGUCUGGGGAAGAGUGAAGCAGGCCAGACACAGAGGAGGAUGGGUGGGGGUCUGGGGAAGAGUGAAGCAGGCCAGACACAGAAGAGAACAGGUGGGGUUCUGGGGAAGAGUGAAGCAGGCCAGACACAGCGGAGGAUGGGUGGGGGUCUGGGGAAGAGUGAAGAGUGAAGCAGGCCAGACACAGAGGAGGAUGGGUGGGGUUCUGGGGAAGAGUGAAGCAGGCCAGACACAGCGGAGGAUGGGUGGGGGUCUGGGGAAGAGUGAAGAGUGAAGCAGGCCAGACACAGAGGAGGAUGGGUGGGGGUCUGGGGAAGAGUGAAGCAGGCCAGACACAGAAGAGAACAGUUGGGGUUCUGGGGAAGAGUGAAGCAGGCCAGACACAGCGGAGGACCCUAAAGUUUACAGGACCUUCAGAAAGUAUUCACAGAGCUUGACUUUUUCCACUUAUUGUCGUGUCACAGCUUGAAUUUAACAUUAAUUAAAACUUUAUAUUUUCUUUGUCACUGGUCUUCAUACAAUACCCCAAUAAUGUCAAAGUGGAAUUAAGUUUUUCACUUUUUUUUAAUACAAAUUAAUUAAAAAUGAAAAGCUGAAAUGUGAUGAGUCAAUAAGUUUUCAAACCCUUAUGUUCAGCCUAGGAGUAAAAACGUCGCUUAACAAGUUUAUUUUACCCUUAUUUUACCAGGUAGAAGAUAAGUUGCAUGGACUCACUGUGUUUUAAAAUUAUUUUUGAAUGACUACCUCACCUCAAGUCGAGCAGUGAAUUUCAAACACAGAUUCAACCACAAAGACCAAGGAGGUUUUUCCCAAUGCGUCGCAAAGAAAGGCACCUAUUGGUAGAUGGGUAAAAAACAAAAUGUGAGUACCACUCUCCAUAUUUUCAAGCAUAGUUGUGUCUGCGUCAUGUUAUGGGUAUACUUGUCAUUGUUAAGGACUGGAGAGUUUUUCAGGAUAAAAAAAUAAAUAAAACAGAACGGAGCUAAGCACAGACAAGAAUCCUCGAGGAAAACCUGGUUCAGUCGGCUUUCUACCAGACACUGGGAGAUGAAUUCACCUUUCAGCAGGACAAUAACCUAAAACACAAGGCCAAAUAUACACUGGGAGAUGAAUUCACCUUUCAGCAGGACAAUAACCUAAAACACAAGGCCAAAUCUACACUGGAGUUGCUUACCAAGAAGACAGUGAAUGUUCCUGAGUGGGCCGAGUUACAGUUUUGACUUAAAUCUACGGCAAGACCUGAAAAUGGUUGUCUAGCAAUGAUCAACAAAAAAUUUGACAAAACUUGACGAAUUUUGAAAAAGAAUAAUGGGUAAAAUGUUGUACAAUCUAAGUGUGAAAAACUCUUAGAGACUUACCCAGAAAGACUCACAGCUGUAAUCGCUCUUAGAGACUUACCCAGAAAGACUCACGGCUGUAAUCGCUCUUAGAGACUUACCCAGAAAGACUCACAGCUGUAAUCGCUCUUAGAGACUUACCCAGAAAGACUCACAGCUGUAAUCGCUGCCAAAAGGUGAUUUUAAUAUGUAUUUACUCAGGGGUGUGAAUACUUACGUAAAUGAAAUAUUUCU